rnacentral:piRNA from 1 species
UCAUGAACGAUGGAAACUUAGAAAGCGAGU